ensembl:lncRNA
GUGCAAAGCACUUAAAGUGUAGCUCCAAUCCUGCCUCGUGCUCAGCCACUUCCAUGUUAUGCUCAUUAUCAGUCACAAUAGCGAUGCCAUGGUUUGGCCUUUAAAGCUCCCAGUCAGUGACAGCUGCUUGUAAAACUUUGGCUAUGUUUGCCCCUGUGUGGGACUCGAACAUUUACCAUUUCCCAGUCACCCCCGUUAUUAUGGUGUUACGGUUGUAAUUCUUCGUAGUAGUUCAGAACCACCAUGCGAGUGAAAUGCAAGCGUGAUGGUUGUACUUUGGUUUCAAUGUGUGGAGGAGUCGUCACCAAAAUCCCAGAUUUCCACCACGGAAAAUAGCCUUAUAUCAGCUGCAUUGAAAACGAUGUCUCUCGUUAUUGCCGUGGCUCUAGCACUUUACUGUGGAAGCUGUCUGGCCUUUCAGUGUUCUCUUUACAGGCAUGGUUGAUUUUAGUAGAGUGCCGUGGUGGUUCUGUAGGUGUCUUUGCGUAGUGCUCAUGUUAGCCGUGGCAUACGGGACUAUUUUCUUACAGUGCUUACAUGUUUUCGUGAAUUGUCUGUUACUCUGUCGCCGUUUAUUAUUUCCACCGGGUACCUGCCACACAAACUAUUUAAAAGUGGUGGGGGCAUCUUCUAUGCUAAUAUCCCCCUCACACUCUGUCAUGCUGAUAUUGUGAGACAGCUUUUCACCUCGAUGAGAAAUAUUGUCACGUUUUAAUAUCGCGAGAUCUCGUCACAUCCCUAGUAAUCACAGAUAGUUGCAGGUAGUAACGGGUAGUCUCAGGUAGUAACAGAUAGUCUCAGGUAGUAACAGAUAGUCUCAGGUAGUAACAGGUAACCGAACAUUAUGUGGUGAACACACACAGGCACGAUUUAUACACACAGUGACACGUUCCACCCUCAGAACACCUCUCGUCCAAUCAGAUCAGUGGACUGGAACUAAGAGCUGUAUAAGUAGUUAAUAACACACUCCAGACCGUGUGCAGGAACAUAAUCCAUUUCGGAGUAGUAACAGUAACUCCGCUUUAUCACACCAUCCUGUCAUUGAUCAUUUUCCUAUAACAGCACCACCUGGAGUGAUUAUUUCAAUACUUACUGGUGUUUUUUCUGUAAAAAGCCACGCCCCUCACACAACUAGUGAAGUUCUGUUUUUAUUUCCUCGGAAUGUUCCGGGUUUUUACAAACAGCUUUAUAACUACAGUAACAUUUUUAACUUUCCUGAAGUAGUCGGCAGAAAUCUCUCUGGAGUUUGACUUGCAUUUAUUUAUUUAUUUAUUAAUUGAUUGUUGCUGAGC